rnacentral:lncRNA from 13 species
UGAUGAUGUUGUAUAGUAUGAAUGAUAUCAGUAAAAUGCUUAAUUGAGUGUAUUAAAUUUAUGACACAAAAUAUACAAUGUUUUUAAAACAAAUAAUGAAUCAAUCCCUCCUCAGUAGUAGAAUCCUUACCAGUCAUAAAAAUACAAUUGAAUCGUCUUAUCUAAAUUAUUUGCCAGAAAGGGCAUAUUUACUAUGAUAUUACAAUUAAAGUUUAGAAAGUAGGCUGUUAAAGCACAUGAGUGGGUCAGGUUCACAUUUAGUAGAGAGGAGCACAGUUUAGAAGCCUACAGAACAGCAGUUAUCAAGAAGAUGCUGGAUGUAGAGCACCAGAUACUCAGAGACGCAUCUCUUCCUUAACGUCAAUGGAACUACAGCUGCUUGACGGGGGAAUAACCCCAAUCAUGACCCUUCAACCUCGUUUUAUCCAUCCAGUAAUCUCGAAGUGGUAAACCCUCUCUAGAACGCAAAACCACAACAAACAAAUCUAACCUCAGGACUUCGUAGAUCAAAAAGAGAGAUAACAGCAAGCUCAGCACCAAUGCGUGCUGGCCACUCCAAGGAAAUUUGCCGCAAACGAAAUGCUGUUACACUUUUAAGCAUCACGUUUCGACUGUGGGAAUUUUUGAAAGGUGAAGUGAUGGGUAUAUAACAUGAAAGAACAGGUGCAGACUGUCAAACUACAGUUCUGAUUCUCUGCGCUUCUCUUCGCCGUUAUUUACGACUCUAAACAAUAAGACCGAAAAGAUGCGCGCUGUGAUUUUGGUGACGGUUGGUCUGCUGGCGCUGAUUGGACACCUGGAUGGACGCGCUCAUGGCGAGAAACGACGCGACAGACCAAACUGUCUCCAACGGACGGUCUCUCCCAGACUGAUCAAGGAAUUACUCAACAAAACACAAACUCUCACAAACUCUUUACCAGUAAGUAGAAAAUUGUUUUAAUACUGUUUCAAGUCCAUUAAAUAAGUGUUGUUAUGUGCGUAGUAAUUCAUUUAAAUGUAUUUUGUUACAGACGUUCCCCAGAAAAAUAUAUGAAAGACUUCUGCCCAAAAUCUGUACAACGUGUGCUAAGAAACAACUUGGCAUCUGGGAAAUCAACAAGAUAUUGGAUGUCUAUUCCAACGUGUUCAACCAGGAAUCUUUGGAAGGUCUCUACCCCAAACACUUUGAGGAUCUUCUGGCAAGGCUGAAAACAGAUGUCCAAUCUUGUCUGGUGGAGUGCCCAACUAGACCAACAUGGACCAAGACAACCAUCAGGAAGAUGGAGAACACAUUUAAGAAGGUGAAUAUGACUUAUCCAACCCUCUUACACAUCUCAACACGAUGCUUUAUGGCAAAACAAAACUCAUCUCUAGAUCUAAUUGACCUG